UACGUAGGGUGCAAGCGUUGUCCGGAAUUAUUGGGCGUAAAGAGCUCGUAGGCGGUUUGUCGCGUCUGCUGUGAAAACUCGGGGCUUAACCCCGAGCCUGCUUCUGAUACGGGCAGACUAGAGGUAUGCAGGGGAGAACGGAAUUCCUGGUGUAGCGGUGAAAUGCGCAGAUAUCAGGAGGAACACCGGGUGGCGAAGGCGGUUCUCUGGGCAUUACCUGACGCUGAGGAGCGAAAGUGUGGGGAGCGAACAGG
rnacentral:rRNA from 1 species